AGUUUUAUAGGUAUGAAAAGUUAUGAAAGGGACUUAGUUGAAAUGCAAAGAAGGAGCUAAACUAAUCCGAAGGUAUUAAUCAGCAUGAACAAAUGACGAGGGAAACACCUGAGCUGUGCUUCAUAUCCAAAUUUUUACACCACCAAAUAGUACGAACUGCCUCUAGCGAAAUAGUGCAGCCUCUCCUACCACUGCUUCAUCAAUUCUCAAACGCCUCGCUGAUUGGUCCAUUCAUCUACCCCAGCCACCAUGCCCUUCUCCCUUACCCAAGAGAACUGCGCCUUCAACUGGUGUCAUCGAUUCUGUUUGCUCUCUGCGAGUUUUCUACAGCUACCAACAGAUGGCAGUGUAAAACCAGUUCUCCUCUCUUCUCUACUGUUAGAUUUCCCUAAAUCGCAGCAUUACUAAUGCAAAUUGGAAUCCAUGGCAGAAUCUUUCUUGCUGUAAUUAUGGAAAGCUCAAUAAGUAUUUUUGAGGGGAAAAAAAGCAAUAAGAAUAAUUUUUGUGAAUUUGCAUUUUUUUUCUUGUAUGAAACAUA